AUCCGACUGACGAGUCUCAAAUAGGACAAAAUGCUCAUUCUGGAU
rnacentral:hammerhead_ribozyme from 1 species